rnacentral:siRNA from 1 species
AAAGUGUGUAAUUGAAGUAUCGG